UACGGAGGGUGCGAGCGUUGUCCGGAAUCACUGGGCGUAAAGGGCGCGUAGGCGGCUCAUGAAGGCUGUGGUGAAAGUCCGGGGCUCAACCUCGGAUCGGCCGUGGCGACUCGUGGGCUGGAGCACUGUAGAGGCGGGUGGAAUUCCGGGUGUAGCGGUGGAAUGCGUAGAGAGUCCGGAAGAACACCAGUGGCGAAGGCGGCCCGCUGGGCAGUGGCUGACGCUGAAGCGCGACAGCGUGGGGAGCAAACAGG
rnacentral:rRNA from 1 species